GGGGCCUGGUGCGGUGCCUGGCGCCCUGGCCUUAGGCGAACCAAAGAGUGGAGGGAACCUCGCCUCCUCCGGACACUCCUGCCGGCGUCCUGGCAGCGCCUGCAAGGCGCGGGCGGAAACAAGCUCUGCAGAAAUAAGCAACAGAAGAGGCUUUUCCUUGAGCAAGGCAUUGGUCACGCCUCAAUUAGAACUCAUACUCUUCCUGCAGAUCAGCACAAGAAUCCUCCCACCUACCUGGCAUCUGCGCGCCAGAGGUCAGUUUUGGGUUUUGAACUAAGCAUUUUCAGAAGGACCAAGAGAAAAGCAGACACAGGAGCCUGUUGUCAAUGGAUGUCCUCUGAGCCCCAGUGGGCCUCUGACAUUGGACUGAAGAGGACAGGAUGGUGGUGGAGGUGGAGAUGUUUGGAGAUUAUAAGGAAAGGAUUAGAAGUUGAAGUAGUUGGGACCUGAAGCUUGGUUAUUCCCAGGAAAAUGAUAUAGUCAGACAAAGCUCCCAGAUGCCUAGCAAGCAACAAGUGAAUAAACAAUGACUAUUACUGUAGUCCUGGAGCACCGAACCAGUCUAAGUGUCCGCGGGACAAGCGCGGACUGGAAAACCGAACGUUCCGGGACCCGCUCUUCUGGGAAGCGCACCAAUGCCCUCUAGUGGGUGAGCAAUGAACUGGCGGAAGUCCCGCUCCUCUGACCCCUCCCAGUGCCUAACCUGCGUGU